AUAUUUACCCAGCAGGGGAGAUACUAUGAUGACAAGGGUGGAUUUCCCUGGGUGAGGCUUAUCUAUUGUACCCUGGGUGUGCUGACCCCUGCAGUUUUCCCAAAUGUGAGAAACUUGACUGCAUAAUUUGUGGUAGGAGGGUGAUUGCGUUUGCUGCAGCUGCACCUGG